AAAUGAGAGGAGAAAAAAAAAAGAAUUGGGGAAAAAAAAAGACAACUUUUUGAAACUGGAAUUAAAACCUGAGGUUAUCGAAGCGGAGCUGGCAGUGGCAAAUCCCUAGAGGCAACGGAGCCACCGGCAGCGUCUCCCUGUGCCGGAGCCCGAGGAGCCCCAGCACACUCGUGCCUUUCUCCUCCUCUUCUUCCUCCUCGCUGGCCAUGAGCGUCCCAGUGAGGAUGCGUGGGGCUUCCAUGGGAGUCUAGAUCACAGAAGCGAGUGCCAGGGAGGGGCUAAUGUUUUUUGGGGGGAAUCCUCGCGAUUUUGGGGAAGGCGGAGGGGAUCUUGGGCCAGCGCAGUGCUAACGAGGCCCAGCUGAGCGGCAGCCGAUGCACAAGCUCGGCUUUGUUUCAGGACAGCACAAAGCUGUCAUUGUGCCGGCAAUGCGGCCAUGGCCACAUUAUUCAGCCCAAAAAAAAAUAGAAAAAAAAAAUUAAAAAAAAAAAAUAGUGAGAGAGAGAGAAAAGAAAGAAGCGGGGAGGGCCCAGGAGGCGACCCAACAAGGUGAAGAGGUUUAAAUCAGCUUAGUCCAAAUGCCAAUUAAAACUCAAAGAGGAUUAGGCUUGGGAUCGGCAGAAUAGACGGUCAUUGUAGCCUGGUGAGGGGUCCCCCCUGCUCCGGUGCCACCUCGACCACGCUUGUGGUCCCUCCAUCCACCUUUGCCUCCUGUUUCGGCACGGCGGGAUGCAGCAGUUCAAUUGCGCGGCAGCAGGCCAAGGUGCAGGUUGAAGCUCGUGCGCACUUGGCAGGACUGGAGGUCCAUCUUGGAUUGAUCUAGGAUCUCCCUGGGGUCCAAAUGGUCUUGGAGCUCUCCAAGAGGUGCCCUUGGAUAGGGUCCCUGUGCCAGGAGGAAGAUGUCCCCUGAUCAAGGCUCGUAGCCUGAGCGCAUGGUCAGCAACGGUGUGUGGAGGAUGCUGGUGAGAAGGCCAAUGUUGGGUCCCAAGGGUCUGCCCAGGAGCUCGGGGCAGAUCCAUCCCCCCCUUCCCUUGUAGUCCCCUUGAAGAACUUGCAGCUGGACUGCCACCUUGGAUGCCAAUGGAGAGCUUCCUCUGGAUCCGCUCGUGCUGAGCAUUGCAGGGAAGUACACGGGACAUCCCAAGGGCUUCCCUUCCAGCACAGGAACAUCCCAAGAGGACUUCUGCCACCAGGACCACCUGGGGACUACCUUUCAGUGCUUUCCAUUCCGUCCCACACCUCGAUUUGGGGUCUCGAAGGUGAAACUGGAGACACGAGUGAGGACGACGCGGGUCCUUGCCCAUGGGAACUCGGAAACUCAUGCUGCUGUAGCUUGCCCUGGCUGUGAGCAUCCCUUGACACGCACCAGCGACCAGGUACCUCCUGGAAUGGACAUUUUGUACUGAUAUGGUGACUUUUAUAGCCUCAAAGCAUCUUCAUAUCGCACUGGCAAUGUGAAAAUUGACAAUUUUCCACUAACUUUGAGGUUUCUACGUCCUUGUGGGUGGAGAGGUGCCAAGAGUGCCCAGGUACAAGUCAAGUGCGCGGAAGUUGUCCAAGGGACAUUAGGAGCUAAUCUGGGCGACACUUUCCCAUAUCCCUCGCCUCGGUGCAGGUUCCUGGAGUUUUGAUAUUAACUCUAUUGAUGUUGUUUGGGUUGACAGCUCCAUCCGAGUCAUGUCUCCCUUGGACCAUUCUGUUAAGGAAGCCCAAGCGCAUCUGGGAUCAGCUGGGAAUUCUGGAUUUGCUCGGAAUGGAGGGGAAAACAAAAACAUAAAAGGCCUUUUGGCUGAAGAAGGAGGAAGCAUCUCACCUCCAGCAGCAGGAGCCAUUUAUCCCUGUCUCCUGGCACGCUCAACGUAGAGCGAGCUGCAGCGUGCG